rnacentral:rRNA from 1 species
UACGGGGGGAGCAAGCGUUGUUCGGAUUUACUGGGCGUAAAGGGCGCGUAGGCGGUCAGCACAAGUCAGUUGUGAAAUCUCCGGGCUUAACUCGGAAAGGUCAACUGAUACUGUGCGACUAGAGUGCAGAAGGGGCAACUGGAAUUCUCGGUGUAGCGGUGAAAUGCGUAGAUAUCGAGAGGAACACCUGCGGCGAAGGCGGGUUGCUGGGCUGACACGUGACGCUGAUGCGCGA